rnacentral:rRNA from 1 species
UACGUAGGGUGCAAGCGUUUGUCCGGAAUUAUUGGGCGUAAAGAGCUCGUAGGCGGUCUGUCGCGUCUGGUGUGAAAAUCCAGGGCUUAACCCUGGACCUGCAUCGGGUACGGGCAGACUAGAGUGUGGUAGGGGAGAUCGGAAUUCCUGGUGUAGCGGUGAAAUGCGCAGAUAUCAGGAGGAACACCGGUGGCGAAGGCGGAUCUCUGGGCCAUAACUGACGCUGAGGAGCGAAAGCAUGGGGAGCGAACAGG